GCUUGUCUAUGCAGUAGCAUAUAUUUUCACAAGGCAACGCGACACAUAUUUAUAUAUUUUAAUGAAUUUUAUUUACAAUUUAUGAACAUGACGCAUGAGAUUCUUUAAGUCCGUUUGUUAUUUUCACAGUUAUGAAGUGACUGUGCAGUUUUCGCCUUGACCAGAUAUCAUAGGAGCUGUUGUGACUGCUAUAGCGUCUGUCUGGGUGAUCGCGGAGCUAAUGAAUAUCACAUCAUUGUGGAAAAAUGGCCUAAAGUUUACUACGUUAGACUUAAUGUGAAGUAGUUGUAAAAAGUUAUAAGGUACCCCAAGACGAUUCACUGCUACAUUCAUUGCUUCAGACGGCUGACUUCCGGCACGAAACAAAGUGUGCUUAUGCCUGGUUUCAAAUCUAGACCACCGCGUAAAAAUACUGUGGUCUGGAUUUCACGGUGGCCGCACCGCUAGUGGGAAUUCACUAUACCUAGUUUCGACCAUUGAUCAAAGUAUAAUUGAUGCGUAGCGUCCUUUGACAUGGGUAUAACGGAAUAUAUGUUAAUGAUUAUCCUGAUGAACGGACAAAAACUAUUUUCGGUGCAAUGAUUGGAAAGGAUAGUAUGACUUGUCUCCUGACCUGCGUUACUUAAGAUGGCAGCGUGGAAGAUAUCGUUCCCCAGAACUUGUCUGGGUGUCUGAAUGAGUGUCACCGUGCAAAAAGUAUAUCCUGACACAGAUUGUUCAGGGCGGUCGAGAAAUCUUGAACCAUUCAUGGAAGCCAUUCGAAGCGUGGA